rnacentral:rRNA from 1 species
UACGUAGGGGGCUAGCGUUGUCCGGAUUUAUUGGGCGUAAAGAGCGUGUAGGCGGCCAGGUAGGUCUGGUGUGAAAACUCGAGGCUUAACCUCGAGAUGUCAUCGGAAACCAUCUGGCUAGAGUCCGGAAGAGGAGAGUGGAAUUCCUGGUGUAGCGGUGAAAUGCGUAGAGCUCGGGAAGAACAUCGGUGGCGAAAGCGCUCUGCUGGACUGCAACUGACACUCAGGGACGAAAGCUAGGGGAGCGAAUGGG